UACGUAGGGUGCAAGCGUUAUCCGGAAUUAUUGGGCGUAAAGAGCUCGUAGGCGGUUUGUUGCGUCUAUCGUGAAAACCUGCAGCUUAACUGUGGGCUUGCGGUGGAUACGGGCAGACUUGAGUUCGGUAGGGGAGUCUGGAAUUCCUGGUGUAGCGGUGAAAUGCGCAGAUAUCAGGAGGAACACCGGUGGCGAAGGCGGGACUCUGGGCCGAUACUGACGCUGAGGAGCGAAAGCGUGGGAGCAAACAGG
rnacentral:rRNA from 1 species